rnacentral:rRNA from 1 species
GAGCGGCGAACGGGUGAGUAACACGUGAGUAACCUGCCCUGGACUUUGGGAUAACCCUCGGAAACGGGGGCUAAUACCGAAUACGACCUACAGACUGCAUGACNUGGGGGUGGAAAGUUUUUCGGUCUGGGAUGGGCUCGCGGCCUAUCAGCUUGUUGGUGGGGUGAUGGCCUACCAAGGCGACGACGGGUAGCCGGCCUGAGAGGGCGACCGGCCACACUGGGACUGAGACACGGCCCAGACUCCUACGGGAGGCAGCAGUGGGGAAUAUUGCACAAUGGGCGGAAGCCUGAUGCAGCGACGCCGCGUGAGGGAUGACGGCCUUCGGGUUGUAAACCUCUUUCAGCAGGGACGAAGCGAGAGUGACGGUACCUGCAGAAGAAGCGCCGGCCAACUACGUGCCAGCAGCCGCGGUAAGACGUAGGGCGCGAGCGUUGUCCGGAUUUAUUGGGCGUAAAGAGCUCGUAGGCGGCUUGUCGCGUCGUUCGUGAAAACCUGGGCUCAACCCCAGGCUUGCGGGCNAUACGGGCAGGCUAGAGUUCGGUAGGGGAGACUGGAUUCCU